CAUCCUUUGCACCGGCCUUUGCCAUCUCCACCGGCCCUCCGUCGUCUUCGGUCCCCCGAGUCUUUCUGAGGGGUUCUCCCGUCGGGGCCUCCACCGUGGAGGCCAACCUCAAGAGGAUGCCACGGACUAGGAAGAGUGCGGGGAGAACAGCGGUCUGCGAGUUCUCCGAUUGUCAAACUGCCGCCGCGGGUUCCCGUCACCUUAAAGGGGGCUCGCGGGAGAAUUCCUUCAACAACAGGGGUUUAAUAACGGGGACAACCGGUGAAGGCAUCCCGCC
rnacentral:lncRNA from 1 species